rnacentral:lncRNA from 1 species
UUUUUCCAAGUCGCCGGAGUAGAUCUUGUUGCUGAAAGGGACGAGAUCGCCGAGAGUGUUGACUUGUUUCUGGCUCAGUCUUAGGUACGCCGGGCUGCCUCUGUCUCUCUCGUUGAUCUCGUACACAUGCAGUUCUUGAACUUUUGCUGAAAAAAUGAAAACUCUUUCAGUUUUUCUGUAACCUGUUUAAAAUCACUUCUGAUAGAAGUGCUUUAAUUAAAAGCAGGUGAAGUUUUUCUUAAAAAUCCAAGUAUUUCUUAGAAAAGGAUUUGGAAAUGCUUUCCGAGGAAGCAUUUAACCAAAAAACACUAAUGAUUUUUUUCCGCAAACGGAAUCAAAGCACAUUUAGGUUUAGCACUUCCCAAACUCCGAACAAGCCAGCCCGAAUCGCUUCUGGUUGUCAUAAAUCGCUUUUAACCAAAAAGCAGUCUCAAACGAUGACUAAAUUAGAGUUGACCAAAACUAAUUACACAUAAACACAUGACAAAUUAUGUAAAAAGGGCAUGAUCAGAAAACGGCUGAUAGAAAAAGUGCUUACUGGGUCGUGGAGAAUCAGAAUCAGCUGGUUCCUUCUUGUUCUUGCAGAAGAAAGCUGAGGUGGUGAAGUUGCUGGAGGCUGAGAGGACUUGAUUGGUUGAUGAGGAUUUAAGGGUCGGGAAGGAGUGUGAGAGAUUGAAGCCCAACAGUCUCUGAGCUCGAGAAGAUGAAGGAGGAGACCUGAUGGAGUUGGAGAA